rnacentral:tRNA from 1 species
AUUUAUAUAGUAUAAUAUUAUUAUAUUUAAUUUCCAAUUAAAAGAUUUAAAAAAGUUUUAAUAUAAAUA